UACGAAGGGGGCUAGCGUUGCUCGGAAUCACUGGGCGCAAAGCGCACGUAGGCGGAUCUUUAAGUCAGGGGUGAAAUCCUGGAGCUCAACUCCAGAACUGCCUUUGAUACUGGGGAUCUCGAGUCCGGAAGAGGUGAGUGGAACUCCGAGUGUAGAGGUGAAAUUCGUAGAUAUUCGGAAGAACACCAGUGGCGAAGGCGGCUCACUGGUCCGGUACUGACGCUGAGGUGCGAAAGCGUGGGGAGCAAACAGG
rnacentral:rRNA from 1 species